rnacentral:rRNA from 1 species
CUAAGGUAGCGAAAUUCCUUGUCAGGUAAGUUCUGACCCGCACGAAAGGCGUAACGAUUUGGGCGCUGUCUCAGCUGUAGACUCGGUGAAGUCUUAGUACCUGUGAAGAUGCAGGUUACCCGCGACUAGACGGAAAGACCCCAUGGAGCUUCACUGCAGGUUGAUAUUGGGAUUUGAUGCAGCAUGUACAGGAUAGGUAGGAGGCAAAGAGAUGGAUACGCCAGUAUUCAAGGAGCCGCUGUUGGGAUACUACCCCUGUUGUAUUGGAUUUCUAACCGGACGACGUAGAACCGUUGACGGGACAGUGUCAGUCGGGCAGUUUGACUGGGGCGGUCGCCUCCCAAAGAGUAACGGAGGCGCCCAAAGAUACCCUCAGCUUGGAUGGAAACCAAGCGCAGAGUGCAAAGGCAAAAGGGUGUUUGACUGCGAGACCCACAAGUCGAGCAGGGACGAAAGUCGGGCUUAGUGAUCCGGCGGUGCUGAAUGGAAAGGCCGUCGCUCAACGGAUAAAAGCUACCCUGGGGAUAACAGGCUGAUCUCCCCCAAGAGUCCACAUCGACGGGGAGGUUUGGCACCUCGAUGUCGGCUCAUCGCAUCCUGGGGCUGUAUUCGGUCCCAAGGGUUUGGCUGUUCGCCAAUUAAAGCGGUACGCGAGCUGGGUUCAGAACGUCGUGAGACAGUUCGGUCCCUAUCUGUCGUGGGCGCAGGAAAUUUGAGAAGAGCUGUCCUCAGUACGAGAGGACCGGGAUGGACGCAUCAAUGGUGGACCAGUUGUCACGCCAGUGGCAUAGCUGGGUAGCUAAAUGCGGAAGGGAUAAACGCUGAAGGCAUCUAAGUGUGAAACCCACUUCAAGAUGAGAUUUCCCAUUGCGCAAGCAAGUAAGACCCCUUAAAGACGAUAAGGUAGAUAGGUCAGGAGUGUAAGCAUGGUGACAUGUUAAGCGGACUGAUACUAAUAGGUCGAGGGCUUGACCGA